CAUGUAUGUGCCAAGUUCAAACGUAUUUAUCGUGAGACUGCGGACGGCUCAGUAUAUCAGUGAUAAUCUAUUUGAUUGUCUCUCCCAUCGGAUAACCGUGGGAAAUCUAGAGCUAAUACGUGCAGUUAAUUGGUGAGCCGAAAGGUGAGCCAAAGCAUUUAUUAGACGAAACCAUCUACUAGCUUGCCUAGUAAGGGGAAUCUAGAUAACUUUGCUGAUCGUAUGGCCUUGUGCCGGCGACAUUUCAAUUGAGUUUCUGCCCUAUCAACUUGUUGGUAAGGUAUUGGCUUACCAAGGUUGCAACGGGUAACGGGGAAUCAGGGUUCGAUUCCGGAGAGGGAGCCUGAGAAACGGCUACCACAUCCAAGGAAGGCAACAGGCGCGCAAAUUACCCAAUCUAGACAGUAGGAGGUGGCGAAGAGAAUUACUAAGUGGUGACUCUAUGAGUUACCAGCUUGGAAUGAACGUAACUUAAGAAAUUCGAUGAGAAACAACUGGAGGGCAAGUCCUGGUGCCAGCAGCCGCGGUAAUUCCAGCUCCAGUAGUCUGAUUUAAAGUUGUUGCGUUUAAAACGCUCGUAGUUGGAUCACGAAGCAGUACCGAGCCUUCGACUUGCAGACUUUCUAGGAAGGUGUUCGUUUCGUGCGACCCUGAUUAGGAACGAUGCGGUUGAAAUUCAUGCUCAGUGCUGCUAGUUGCACGUGAGAUGGAGUGUUGGCCUUAAAUGAGCCGGUAUUCCCGUCUUGCGGAGUGUGCCUUGAAUAAAACAGAGUGCUUAAAGCAGGUUUUUGCCUGAAUGUUAUAGCAUGGAACGAACAAUCGUGUAUAUGCACGCAUUUUCGACGCCGGUAGGUUUUUGACCUCCGUAUUAGGAUUUGCGUGCGGCACCCACCUAAAUAUGGCUGUUGGUUCCAUAUACGGUGAUGAUUAAAGAGCGGUUGGAGGCAUCGGUAUUGGCCGCGAGAGUGAAAUUCUUAGACCGGCCAAGGACUAACAAAUGCAAAGGCACUUGUCUAGACCGUUUCCAUUAAUCAAGAACGAAAGUGGGAGGUUCGAAGACGAUCAGAUACCGUCCUAGUUCCCACUGUAAACUAUGCGACCUGGGAUCAGUCUAAGAGAUGUUGCAGCUCUAGAUUGGUCCCCCUGGGAAACCUUAAGUUUUUCGGUUACGGGGAGAGUAUGGUCGCAAGGCUGAAACUUAAAGGAAUUGACGGAAGGGCACCACCAGGGGUGGAGCCUGCGGCUUAAUUUGACUCAACACGGGGAAACUUACCUGGUCCGGACAUCUAUGGGAUAAACAGACUAAUAGAUCUUUUUUGAUGAGAUGAGUGGUGGUGCAUGGCCGUUCUUAGUUCGUGGAGUGAUCUGUCAGCCUAAUUGCGGUAACGAACGAGACCACAGUCUCCAUUUAAGUCAUGGAAGAAGACAAAUGAUUUGACAGGUUUCGGCUUGAAAAGUCAUUUGUUGUUGGCAAACUUGACGGUCUUUUGACGAAGAUAGGGGCAACCUGAAGUUAGUUUUAAGAUUGGCGAGUUUCCCUUCCAUUUAGCAACAGUCGGUUUCUCAUCGAUUGUUGCCUUAUGGAGAGACAACGAGGUAUAAACAAGCUCGAGGAAGAGUGGCUAUAACAGGUCAGUGAUGCCCUUCGAUGUUCAGGGCUGCACGCGCGCUACAAUGAUAACGACAACAAGUAUCUGCUUCGAAAGAAGUGGGUAAACAUUAAUCGUUAUCGUGAUGGGGAUUGACCGUUGUAAUUAUCGGUCAUGAAAGAGGAAUCCCUAGUAUGCGCAUUUUAUUAGAAUGUGCAGAUUGAGUCCCUGCCCUUUGUACACACCGCCCGUCGCUACUACCGAGUGGAUUAUGUCAUGAUGCGCUGGGACUGGACGUUGGCUGGGUCUUCGGAUUCGUCCGACGCUGGGAUCAGCGUAAAAUGGCGCAAUUCGAG
rnacentral:rRNA from 1 species